GAUGAACGCUGGCGGCGUGCCUAAUACAUGCAAGUCGAGCGAACGGACGAGAAGCUUGCUUCUCUGAUGUUAGCGGCGGACGGGUGAGUAACACGUGGAUAACCUACCUAUAAGACUGGGAUAACUUCGGGAAACCGGAACUAAUACCGGAUGAUAUUUUGAACCGCAUGGUUCAAAAGUGAAAGACGGUCUUGCUGUCACUUAUAGAUGGAUCCGCGCUGCAUUAGCUAGUUGGUAAGGUAACGGCUUACCAAGGCAACGAUGCAUAGCCGACCUGAGAGGGUGAUCGGCCACACUGGAACUGAGACACGGUCCAGACUCCUACGGGAGGCAGCAGUAGGGAAUCUUCCGCAAUGGGCGAAAGCCUGACGGAGCAACGCCGCGUGAGUGAUGAAGGUCUUCGGAUCGUAAAACUCUGCUAUUAGGGAAGAACAUAUGUGUAAGUAACUGUGCACAUCUUGACGGUACCUAAUCAGAAGGCCACGGCUAACUACGUG
rnacentral:rRNA from 1 species